rnacentral:rRNA from 1 species
GUCGAACGAAGUAGCAAUACUUAGUGGCGAACGGGUGAGUAUAAUGUGGGUAUCUGCCUUUUGGUUUGGAAUAACACGAGGAAACUUGUGCUAAUACCGGAUAAGCCCUUACGGGGAAAGUUUUAACGCCGAAAGAUGAGCCCGCACUUGAUUAGCUAGUUGGUAAGGUAAAAGCUUACCAAGGCUACGAUCAAUAGCUGAUCUGAGAGGAUGAUCAGCCACAUUGGGACUGAGACACGGCCCAAACUCCUACGGGAGGCAGCAGUGGGGAAUCUUGCACAAUGGGGGAAACCCUGAUGCAGCGAUGCCGCGUGAGUGAAGAAGGCCUUUGGGUUGUAAAGCUCUUUCGUCGGGGAAGAAAAUGACUGUACCCGAAUAAGAAGGUCCGGCUAACUUCGUGCCAGCAGCCGCGGUAAUACGAAGGGACCUAGCGUAGUUCGGAAUUACUGGGCUUAAAGAGCACGUAGGUGGUUAGAAAAGUUGGUGGUGAAAGCCCAAGGCUUAACCUUGGAACUGCCGCCAAAACUUUUUAACUAGAGUAUGAUAGAGGUAAGCGGAAUUUCUAGUGUAGAGGUGAAAUUCGUAGAUAUUAGAAAGAACACCAAUUGCGAAGGCAGCUUUCUGGAUCAUUACUGACACUGAGGUGCGAAAGCAUGGGUAGCGAAGAGGAUUAGAUACCCUCGUAGUCCAUGCUGUAAACGAUGUGUGCUA